rnacentral:tRNA from 1 species
AAGGCUUUAACUUAAUUAAAGUGUCUGUGUUGCAUGCAGAAGAUGUAGGUUAAUGUCCUGCAAGCUUUA